GACGAAGGUGGCAAGCGUUGUUCGGAAUCACUGGGCUUAAAGCGCACGUAGGCGGCUUGACAAGUGUCUUGUGAAAUCCCUCGGCUCAACCGAGGAAUUGCUGGGCAUACUGUCGAGCUUGAGGCAGGUAUGGGCGAGUGGAACUCUUGGUGGAGCGGUGGAAUGCGUAGAUAUCAAGAGGAACGCCGGUGGUGAAGACGAUUCGCUGGGCCUGUCCUGACGCUGAGGUGCGAAAGCCAGGGGAGCAAACGGG
rnacentral:rRNA from 1 species